UACGAAGGGGGCUAGCGUUGUUCGGAAUUACUGGGCGUAAAGCGCGUGUAGGCGGGUCUUUUAAGUCAGGGGUGAAAUGCCAAGGCUCAACCUUGGAACUGCCUUUGAUACUGGAGAUCUUGAGUCCGGGAGAGGUGAGUGGAAUUGCGAGUGUAGAGGUGAAAUUCGUAGAUAUUCGGAGGAACACCAGUGGCGAAGGCGGCUUACUGGUCCAUAACUGACGCUGAGGUGCGAAAGCGUGGGGAGCAAACAGG
rnacentral:rRNA from 1 species